CUUGACCGAGCCGAGCCACAACGGGACGUCUCGAUCCUGUCCGUACGUCGCCAGCAGCGCCUGCGCCUC
rfam:Actinoplanes sp. N902-109, complete genome.